UGGGUAUCAUUUACUGAUCCUUGCAGAGCGC
rnacentral:piRNA from 1 species